rnacentral:rRNA from 1 species
UACAGAGGGUGCGAGCGUUAAUCGGAAUUACUGGGCGUAAAGCGCGCGUAGGCGGCUUUGCAAGUCGGGUGUGAAAUCCCCAGGCUUAACCUGGGAACUGCAUUCGAGACUGCAUUGCUAGAGUAUGGGAGAGGGAAGUGGAAUUUCCGGUGUAGCGGUGAAAUGCGUAGAUAUCGGAAGGAACAUCAGUGGCGAAAGCGGGUCUCUGGGCCGAUACUGACGCUGAGGAGCGAAAGCGUGGGGAGCGAACAGG